rnacentral:rRNA from 1 species
CCUACGGGAGGCAGCAGUGAGGAAUAUUGGUCAAUGGACGAGAGUCUGAACCAGCCAAGUAGCGUGAAGGAUGAAUGCCCUAUGGGUUGUAAACUUCUUUUAUAUGGGAAUAAAAUGUUCCACGUGUGGGAUUUUGUAUGUACCAUAUGAAUAAGGAUCGGCUAACUCCGUGCCAGCAGCCGCGGUAAUACGGAGGAUCCGAGCGUUAUCCGGAUUUAUUGGGUUUAAAGGGAGCGUAGGUGGAUUGUUAAGUCAGUUGUGAAAGUUUGCGGCUCAACCGUAAAAUUGCAGUUGAAACUGGCAGUCUUGAGUAGAGUAGAGGUGGGCGGAAUUCGUGGUGUAGCGGUGAAAUGCUUAGAUAUCACGAAGAACUCCGAUUGCGAAGGCAGUUCACUGGACUGCAACUGACACUGAGGCUCGAAAGUGUGGGUAUCAAACAGGAUUAGAUACCCGUGUAGUC